UUUUUUGCACAUUCAUGUCUUAACAUGCACUAUCCAAAUCAUGCAUCACAAGUCAUGCAUUUUCAUCACAAAAUUAUUUGAUUUUUCACUUGACUUUUUGGAUGGAAUUUUCAAAUCUUAAGAUAAUGCAUUGUUUACACUUGGCAACAUUUCUAUUGGAUUACAAACGGAGUUUUAAGUGGAUUUAGGCCCAAUUUCGUGUACUGUAGCAUGCACUCCAUGCACAUGAGGUGAAUUAGCA
rnacentral:lncRNA from 1 species